rnacentral:rRNA from 1 species
UACGAAGGGGGGCUAGCGUUGCUCGGAAUUACUGGGCGUAAAGCGCACGUAGGCGGUCUUUUAAGUCGGGGGUGAAAUCCUGGAGCUCAACUCCAGAACUGCCUUCGAUACUGGAAGACUCGAGUCCGGGAGAGGUGAGUGGAACUGCGAGUGUAGAGGUGAAAUUCGUAGAUAUUCGCAAGAACACCAGUGGCGAAGGCGGCUCACUGGCCCGGUACUGACGCUGAGGUGCGAAAGCGUGGGGAGCAAACAGGGAU